CUCCAGGCUUGGAAAGCUGUAUGACUGCUGCUUCUGUCAUUGAACGACCAAGGGAAACAUUCGUGCUUCCCUAAUGCUGGCCUCCUGGGGGGAGUGUGUUUUAGGAGAUGGGCAGUCUGACUGAGUCAAACGGUACACACAUCACGGGCCAGUUAAUCCUGGGACUUUACCUAUCAAUGAGAUGACAGAACCGAGGCACAGAGAGGGUUGGACCCAGCUGGGACUGGAAGCCAGACCGUUGGCUCCAGUGGACAUGCCCUUUGUCUCUACUCUGUGGGCUUCUAACCUGAAACUCGCGGAUGGCAGUGGAGAGGGGAGAGAAGCCCGCUGGCAUCUGAGGACAACAAUCUCUAGAUGAACUUUCCUGUUAGCUAUGUUUCCAAGCCCGUGAAGCUCUGAGAAAGACCUGGCUUGGAGGAUGGAGCGGGGAGUGCAGGUUACUGAAGACCAGGCUUGCUGGAAGUCCAUGCCACUCAUUUCUGCACCUGCCUGCUCUAUCGGCACGCAUCUGUCAGCUUCGGAACCUCAGGGUAGACUGCCUUCUGCAGAGCAUGUGGCUGAUGCUGGAGAUGGAAUACCGGAGUUCAGGAGCAGAGCACUACUUGGCCUGGGCAGAAACUCAGGGCAUUGCCACUGCAUGGGCAAGCAUCUAUGGACUGUGCCACGUGAAGCUUUGUCUACAAUACUGCGUGGCAUGGACGUGGAGAAACUGGAGUUGACCAGUAAGAGUUUUUGGUUCCGCCUGUGCCUGGAUUUGAAACCAGGACUGAGCAUCAGCACUUUUGGACUGAGCUAGCCCUGAGACAUAGGAAUACUUUUUGAAUGAGAAAUAGAGGCCCUCAAGAGGGUGAU
rnacentral:lncRNA from 1 species